rnacentral:rRNA from 1 species
GUGAGGAAUUUUGCGCAAUGGGGGCAACCCUGACGCAGCGACGCCGCGUGGAGGACGAAGUCUUUCGGGAUGUAAACUCCUGUCAGUGGGGACGAUAAUGACGGUACCCACAGAGGAAGCACCGGCUAACUCCGUGCCAGCAGCCGCGGUAAUACGGAGGGUGCAAGCGUUAUCCGGAAUCACUGGGUUUAAAGGGUACGUAGGCGGUUAAUUAAGUCAGUAGUGAAAGACUGUCGCUCAACGACGGAUGUGCUAUUGAUACUGGUUAACUUGAAUCAGGUUAGAGUUGGCGGAAUGGGUCAUGUAGCGGUGAAAUGCUUAGAUAUGACUUGGAACACCGAUAGCGAAGGCAGCUGACUGAGCCUUGAUUGACGCUGAGGUACGAAAGUGUGGGUAGCGAACAGGAUUAGAAACCCUUGUAGUCC